AGCAACCGCGGUAAUUCCAGCUCCAAUAGCGUAUAUUAAAGUUGUUGCAGUUAAAAAGCUCGUAGUUGAACUUCGGGAUCAAUACGUCGGUCGUGCCUCUGGUAUGUACUGGUGUUAUUGAUUUCUCCUUUCUGAUGAGCCAUGAUGUCAUUAAUUUGGUGUUGUGGGGAGUCAGGACUGUUACUUUGAAAAAAUUAGAGUGUUUAAAGCAGGCUUACGCUUGAAUACAUUAGCAUGGAAUAAUGAAAUAGGACGUUCGAUCCUAUUUUGUUGGUUUCUAGGAUCAACGUAAUGAUUAAUAGGGAUAGUUGGGGGCAUUAGUAUUCAAUUGUCAGAGGUGAAAUUCUUGGAUUUAUUGAAGACUAACUACUGCGAAAGCAUUUGCCAAGGAUGUUUUCAUUAAUCAAGAACGAAAGUUAGGGGAUCGAAGACGAUCAGAUACCGUCGUAGUCUUAACCAUAAACUAUGCCGACUAGGGAUCGGAUGAUGUUAAUUUUUAAUGACUCAUUCGGCGCCUUAA
rnacentral:rRNA from 1 species